CCACAGUUCUGUAUUGCAAACGACAGAAGCUCCACAAGUCAGAGAUCCAGACCUCAAGUACCACGUUAUGAAGCUAGACAAGCUCACCUGAGUAGCUGCAGACUGACAGGAAGAUGACGAUGACGACGAGACAACAGGAAUGUCAGACUGUACAGCAGCCA